rnacentral:lncRNA from 1 species
AUACUAUGAUGAUGCUAUUACUUGACAUAAUUAGAAGAGUGGUAAUCUUUUUUAUUUUUAAUAUGGUAUGUGUUGGGAGAAAUUUUAUCUAGACCAAAGAUAAGAAGAGAUCGGAGGCCUAGUAUGGUAAUAAUUUAACCAGCCCACUGUCAGUGCUACAAGGCCUCCAUUAGCUAUGCUGCCCUGUGUAUUUUAUUAAUUGUCAUUAUGCAUUGUCUACUAUGCAUAUGCUAUUAGAAUUGCCCUGGGUCAUCUAAACCUAGGAAAGGCAUUAAUUGCCUCCCUCCCUCUCGUCCCAUCCUCCCAAGGGGAUCACAACAAGACAAAAGGAAGAGAGGAAGAGAUGGAGGACAGAAAAAAUAUGGUAGGAGAGGA